rnacentral:rRNA from 1 species
CGCGAGUGGCGAACGGGUGAGUAAUAUAUCGGAACGUGCCUAGUAAUGGGGAAUAACUAGCUGAAAGGUUAGCUAAUGCCGCAUACGACCUACGGGUGAAAGCAGGGGAUCUUCGGACCUUGCGUUAUUAGAGCGGCCGAUAUCUGAUUAGCUUGUUGGUGGGGUAAUGGCCUACCAAGGCGACGAUCAGUAGCUGGUCUGAGAGGACGAUCAGCCACACUGGAACUGAGACACGGUCCAGACUCCUACGGGAGGCAGCAGUGGGGAAUUUUGGACAAUGGGGGCAACCCUGAUCCAGCCAUUCCGCGUGAGUGAAGAAGGCCUUCGGGUUGUAAAGCUCUUUCGCAAGAGAAGAAAACUUGCUAUUUAAUAAAUAGUAAGUAUGACGGUAUCUUGACAAGAAGCACCGGCUAACUACGUACCAGCAGCCGCGGUAAUACGUAGGGUGCAAGCGUUAAUCGGAAUUACUGGGCGUAAAGCGUGCGCAGGCAGUUUUAUAAGUCAGAUGUGAAAUCCCCGAGCUCAACUUGGGAACUGCGUUUGAAACUGCAAGACUAGAGUGUGUCAGAGGGGGGUAGAAUUCCAAGUGUAGCAGUGAAAUGCGUAGAGAUUUGGAGGAAUACCAAUGGCGAAGGCAGCCCCCUGGGAUAACACUGACGCUCAUGCACGAAAGCGUGGGGAGCAAACAGGAUUAGAC